ensembl:rRNA 5S_rRNA 5S ribosomal RNA
GUCUAUGGCCACACCGCCCUGAAUGCGCCUGAUCUUGUCUGAUUUCGGAAGCUAAGCAGGGUCGCGCCUGGUUUGUACUUGGAUGGGAGAAUUUAGUGCUUGAACACUAUUGCUGUAGAUU